rnacentral:rRNA from 1 species
UUGGGCCUACGGGGGGCAGCAGUGGGGAAUAUUGGUCAAUGGGCGCGAGCCUGAACCAGCCAAGUCGCGUGAGGGAUGACGGUCCUACGGAUUGUAAACCUCUUUUGUCAGGGAGCAAAGUCACCCACGUGUGGGUGUUGGAGAGUACCUGAAGAAAAAGCAUCGGCUAACUCCGUGCCAGCAGCCGCGGUAAUACGGAGGAUGCGAGCGUUAUCCGGAUUUAUUGGGUUUAAAGGGUGCGUAGGCGGGUUAUAAAGUCA